CGUAUUAAUCAGGCAGGUUAUGCAAUUCACUUCCGAGUGAAUUUCAACCCCAUUCAAUUUGAAUUCAAAAUGGCUUUGGUUAAAAUUCACUCGGAAGAGAAUUGCGGAACCUGCCUUAAUAAUUCAUAUUAAAA